rnacentral:tRNA from 1 species
GCCUGGGUGGCUCAGUCAAUUAAGCAUCUGACUUCUGCUCAGAUCAUGAUCUCGCAUUCAUGGGUUCGAGCCCCACAUCGGGCU